rnacentral:rRNA from 1 species
AUUGAACGCUGGCGGCAUGCUUUACACAUGCAAGUCGAACGGCAGCGCGGGCUUCGGCCUGGCGGCGAGUGGCGAACGGGUGAGUAAUACAUCGGAACGUGCCCAGUAGUGGGGGAUAGCUCGGCGAAAGCCGGAUUAGUACCGCAUACGACCUGAGGGUGAAAGCGGGGGAUCUUCGGACCUCGCGCUAUUGGAGCGGCCGAUGGCAGAUUAGCUAGUUGGUGGGGUAAAGGCCUACCAAGGCGACGAUCUGUAGCUGGUCUGAGAGGACGACCAGCCACACUGGGACUGAGACACGGCCCAGACUCCUACGGGAGGCAGCAGUGGGGAAUUUUGGACAAAGGGCGAAAGCCUGAUCCAGCAAUGCCGCGUGUGUGAUGAAGGCCUUCGGGUUGUAAAGCACUUUUGGCGGGAACGAAAAGGACUGUGCCAAUACCACGGUUCGAUGACGGUACCCGCAGAAUAAGCACCGGCUAACUACGUG